CAGCCGCCUGCUCUGCAGCACGCCGCCGCCUCUCCCGCCACGACGUCGCCCGGCGCCCCCUCCCCCACAACCCACGCCACCACCACGGCCUCGCCCCUUCUCGUCCUAUCCCCACGACGGUCUCGCCCCGCCGUCCCUUAUCCCCACGACGGCCUCGCCCUGCCAGCUCCUGUCACCACUGCGGCCUUGCCUCGCCGCCAACCCCGCCAAUCUUUCCUAGAUCGACUCUGCUGCCGCCAUCCUACUGCCCCAGAGCUGAUCGAGAUGCGAGCUGCUAGACACGAUGUGGGAGGAGGAAUCUCGAAUUGGACGGAGAUCCAGUGUGUUGACGUGCCUACUGUAAUCAUCGUCCCCCCGUGAUUGGCUCACACAGUUGCUGCGGGAAGGAGUUCACAGCUCGCGUACGUGCUCGGUUGCUGAAGGCACCUUCAUCACAUUGUCAUUCAUUUGUGAGAUGUUUCUCUUUCUCUAUGUUGGCAUGGAUGAUAUAUAGAGUAGUGGAAGAUUGUUAGUGAAACACAUUCAGCCCAAUGAAAUGUAUCACCUUGAGCUCCAUUAUUUAGGCCAUAUCUCAUGAGAGAUGCUGUGUCAAUUGCAUUGGCAUCCAAUAAGGCUUGAAGUGGUGGUCGUAACACAGUCGGUUGGGAGGACUCAAUGUCAGAGUCGAUAUUAUGGACAUUUUCCUUGUCAGAACCGGCACUAUCUGGUGUUCUUAAUGAAUUUGGAGCAUGAGGUGGAGUUUGAUCACUCAUUAUCAUAUCAACGGGUAUGGCUGCAUCAUAACUGUAUGUACAAUGUCAGUUGGUGACACACGAACUAAGGUAUUAUGUUUGACAAGAGAACACAUGACCUUCCGUAGCUGGGGUGUGUCGUUGCUGGGUGACAGCGGACUACGCACUGGGCCUGUCCACAGCGUCAAAACCUGUCGAAAAGAACACUUAAUUAACAUGACUUUACUUGUGAUUCAUGGAAUGUAUGAUAAAGAACAUAGAAAAUGGAGUAACCAGGCGACAUGGCCACGGGUGGCUUAGAUGGAGUGUUGGUUCCAUUUAGAAUAGCAGACGUAGCUUUCUUAGAUCCCUUGCCUCCUGUCUUAUUUUCUUAGUAUUGCAUCCCUGUUUACCUCUCCCUUUCCCUCUGUCUCUUUAGUUCUUUUGAAUCUGUUUUUUGACCUACGAGGCAAUGACAUAUUCUGGAUUUACAAGAUUGAAGUAGGUAAGAGUACGUGAUAUAUGUAUUUACCUGAAUUCCUGUUGUUCGUCGGGUCCUGAAAGGGAGUACGUGCCCCACUAUGUUCAAAGGAUGCCAUAUUGUCAACUCAGUUUGUCAUGCAGAUCAUGAUGUACUGUCAGAAAGUAGUCAUAUGUCCUCAGAUGCUGCGGGCCACAAGGGGUGAUGACACCGGAGGUAGUGCAACACGCCGAGUCGAGGACGUCCAACGGGUGGAGGACGUCGCGGCUAACAGGGGCGACGGCGGUGUGGCGAUGACGACGGGGCGAGGAGAGGUAGGGCAACAAGGUGGGUCGAGGAAGGACGUGCACCGGGGUGGAGGACAUCGCAGCCACCAGGGGCUAGGGCUGCGUGGCGAUGGUUGCGGGGCGAGGAG